rnacentral:rRNA from 1 species
UACGGAGGGGGCUAGCGUUAUUCGGAAUUACUGGGCGUAAAGCGUACGUAGGCGGCUUUGCAAGUUAGAGGUGAAAGCCUGGAGCUCAACUCCAGAACUGCCUUUAAAACUGCAUCGCUUGAAUCCAGGAGAGGUGAGUGGAAUUCCGAGUGUAGAGGUGAAAUUCGUAGAUAUUCGGAAGAACACCAGUGGCGAAGGCGGCUCACUGGACUGGUAUUGACGCUGAGGUACGAAAGCGUGGGGAGCAAACAGG